UGGUGACGAUGGCGGAGGGGUUCCACGCGUACCCAUCCCGAACACGACCGUUAAGCCCUCCAGCGCCGAUGGUACUUGGACCGAAGGGUCCUGGGAGAGUAGGAUGUUGCCA
rnacentral:rRNA from 1 species